UUUGAAAUAUUUUUUAGCUUUCUAUCUUAUUUAAAUUCUAUCUUAUUCUCACUACCUAUUACCUUUCUUAUUUUAUUUUUUCCAUUCAAACAUUAUUUAUUAUUUUUAAAAUUAAUUUAUUUUUUUUAAAAUAUAAAAUUAGUCUACUUUUUAUUUCUGUCUGAACUUAUACCUAUUUAUGAAAUAGACAAUUUUUAUUUAUAUUCGAAUCAAACGGUAUCUUAAUAAAUAUAUUUAUUUUAAAUAUUAGCAAAAAAAAAAAGAAAAUUAAUUUUAUUUAAAAAAAAAAUCAAUCUUUUCAAAGUUGAAACCACAGCUCUUUUUGGCGAAAAAUUCUAAAAUGCAACGGGUAUAUUAGUGACGUGGCGUAACAAACAAAUCAAAUUAAUCCUUUUAAAAAUAUAUGUCCCAUCAUGAUUGUAAAAAAAUAUUUUUAUUGUACUUUUGUUUGAAAAGAAGAAAUAUGAUUGGCUUGUUAUUGAUGACGUGGUGCAAGUGUGAUAGUGUAGAAUUCCUCCUUNUU
rnacentral:lncRNA from 1 species